CACACACACACACACACACACACACACAGCUCACAUCCACACACACACAGCUCACACACACACACACACACACACAGCUCACACACACACACACACACACAGCUCACACACACACUAUAAACGAGCCCGAGGGAUUUCAGGAUUUUUAGGGACCCUCAUUGUCAUUUUACCCCAAAUCUCUGAUGAUAACAACAACAAAAGUAACGGAGUUUCCUUGAGAUAAUUGCCACAAAUAGCAAAAGCAGAGGUGUUUCCAACUAGUUGGAAAGGCCUCAAAGGUUUGAUUGGAUCUGGUUUUUAAUCAGCGUUUUGUAACAGGCAAAUUAAGGGAAGCCCAAGGACCUCAGGUUGUGAUCCACCUCACAUAAAAAUGAUUGAGAAAUCAAUCAGCGUAAAUUAGUUCCCAGAACCACCAGCCGUUUAUUAACACAUGUAAAUUGUGCAGAUGAGAUAAUGUCUUUGGCUCGUCCCCACUUUGUACUUCCUGCCACAUCCCCACCAAUGAAAUAAGGAACCGGUAUUGAAUGUAAUGAUUUGACCAGCGACAAUAAAAACACUCGCACCUCACCGCCCUGUUGCGUUUCCUUUGCAGUGAUCGAUCAGAAAAAUCAACAUUCUCACAGGUAUUUUCUCUUUUUAGAGACGGACGGCUUUGACCGGUCGACCCGCUGUUUCUGAAUAUUUAGUCCAAUAUGAAGUCCAGCUCUACACCAUCGUCAACUGUCAUUCAGGACUUUAUUGGCAGCGCGACGGGGCCCCGUCAAGUGAAGGCGAGGGCUGUCGCUGUGCUAUUGGGAAGUGCCUGAAAAUGUCUCUGGCAUUUGCCGCUGAAAUGCCACAACGCCAUAUAAACCAGUUAUCACGGCGCCAGAGAGCUUUUCAGGCUGUAAACCCACAGUGGAGAGAUGGACCAUUACGGACUAUGAUGCCCUGACACUUAAGAGGUCAUUACGAGGCACGCACACACACACACACAUGCACACGCACAUGCACACACACACGCACACACACACACACACACACGCACGCACACACACACGCACACA
ensembl:lncRNA